CGGACGGGUGAGUAGCACGUGGAUAACCUACCUAUAAGACUGGGAUAACUUCGGGAAACCGGAGCUAAUACCGGAUAAUAUAUUGAACCGCAUGGUUCAAUAGUGAAAGACGGUUUUGCUGUCACUUAUAGAUGGAUCCGCGCCGCAUUAGCUAGUUGGUAAGGUAACGGCUUACCAAGGCAACGAUGCGUAGCCGACCUGAGAGGGUGAUCGGCCACACUGGAACAGAGACACGGUCCAG
rnacentral:rRNA from 1 species